UGAUACCGCUUUUGACAGUUGCUAACAAGUCCCAAGGCUGUCCGUCUUACGGUUUUGUCCUAUGUGAAAGGUACGGAGUGUUUAAGUCAAUCCCAUAAAUUUGCUACUUUACAUUUAAUUAAGCUCUACAAGGUGUUUCUUUUGGGUAUUAAGAGUCACCAGCUCCUUCGUCCUGCGUGAAAAGGUAACGAUACAGAAUGGGCUGGUUGAGCCGCAAAUUGGUCUCUCCACAUGCCACAUGUGAAAUGUCACACGCCCCGUCCACGCUGCUUAUCGAUGCCAUGUUCUUCAUUGCUCUUGACUCGGAAUUGAGGGGUUCGAGUUGUUUGCGUUAAAACUUUCAGACCGCCCAUCAAAAACUUUAUCCAUCUGUCCUGUGGGAAAAGCGUGCAGAUCACGCGCAACCAGAGAAGUUAGGUGUCUUUUUUUAUAUUUGAUAUAUAUAUAGCCUUCCGCACACGCUGAAUUGAGACACGGCGUUAAAGAGAGCUUGGAUACACAAAGUAACCAUGAGGAGGCAGGGGUUCAUAGGUGGGGUUGGUAUGAUAUGAAUUGUUUGGGGGUGGGG